AGAGUUUGAUCAUGGCUCAGGACGAACGCUGGCGGCGUGCUUAACACAUGCAAGUCGAACGGAGGAUACAUUGAAACGCAAGUCGAUAUGUAACCUUAGUGGCGGACGGGUGAGUAACGCGUGAGGAGCUGUCCUAUGCAGGGGGACAACAGCUGGAAACGGCUGCUAAUACCCCAUAAGCCGAGAGGUAAAAGGAUCAAUCCGGCAGAGGAGGUACUCGCGUCCUAUCAGCUAGUAGGUGAGGUAACGGCUCACCUAGGCGAAGACGGGUAGCCGGCCUGAGAGGGCGAACGGCCACACUGGAACUGAGAUACGGUCCAGACUCCUACGGGAGGCAGCAGUGGGGAAUAUUGGGCAAUGGGGGAAACCCUGACCCAGCGACGCCGCGUGGGUGAAGAAAUCCUUCGGGAUGUAAAGCCCUGUUGUAUGGGAAGAGCGGAAGACGGUACCAUACGAGGAAGCCCCGGCAAACUACGUGCCAGCAGCCGCGGUAAUACGUAGGUGGCGAGCGUUGUCCGGAAUUACUGGGCGUAGAGGGUGCGUAGGCGGUCCUUUAAGUCUUGUGUGAAAUGCCCCGGCUUAACCGGGGAGCGGCACAGGAAACUGGGGGACUGGAGUGCUGGAGAGGGUCGCGGAAUUCCCGGUGUAGCGGUGAAAUGCGUAGAUAUCGGGGAGGAACACCAGUGGCGAAGGCGGCGACCUGGACAGUAACUGACGCUGAGGCACGGAAAGCUGGGGGGGAGCAAACAGGAUUAGAUACCCUGG
rnacentral:rRNA from 1 species